rnacentral:rRNA from 1 species
CACGAUUGGGCGGAGUCAGGUACGUUGCAGCUGGCUGGGGUCGCGCGCUUCGCCCGCCACGAUGCUCGGGGAGAUUCAUCGUCAACAAAGUUGGUAUCCGUGCGACGCGCGAUGCUUGGGAUUUCGGUCCCGAGUCACGUCGUUGCUGCGCGAUAAUUCUGACUGUGUCGGCGUGCACUUCUCCCCUAGUAGAACGUCGCGACCCGUUGAGUGCUCGUCAAAGACCUCGGAUGGUCGACUGUGUCGUACCUUCGCAAGAUGUUAGUGCGCCAGACCGCCGGAAGUCCGACGAGCUGCUCGACGGUAGUUUUUUCAGUAGAGCGGUACAGAGCCGCAGAAAAUGCGUUCAGGCACUUCGGCAGGCGAAUCUCGUUCGGGAUGCGGACUCAGCGCCGCUUCUCGGAUUGUGAUUUUCCUUACGCCGGAGUUGUUCUCGGACCGGCUCUGAACAUUCGUUUAUACGGAUGUACCUGUCGGCGACGCUACUGCUUUGGGUACUUUCAGGACCCGUCUUGAAACACGGACCAAGGAGUAUAAA